UACGUAGGGGGCAAGCGUUGUCCGGAUUUAUUGGGCGUAAAGAGCGUGUAGGCGGCCAGACAGGUCCGUUGUGAAAACUCGAGGCUCAACCUCGAGACGCCGAUGGAAACCGUUUGGCUAGAGUCCGGAAGAGGAGAGUGGAAUUCCUGGUGUAGCGGUGAAAUGCGCAGAUAUCAGGAAGAACACCCGUGGCUAAGGCGGCUCUCUAGUACGGUACUGACGCUGAGACGCGAGAGCGUGGGGAGCGAACAGG
rnacentral:rRNA from 1 species